AGUAAAAGUCGUAACAAGGUUUCCGUAGGUGAACCUGCGGAAGGAUCAUUAAAGAGUAAGGGUGCUCAGCGCCCGACCUCCAACCCUUUGUUGUUAAAACUACCUUGUUGCUUUGGCGGGACCGCUCGGUCUCGAGCCGCUGGGGAUUCGUCCCAGGCGAGCGCCCGCCAGAGUUAAACCAAACUCUUGUUAUUUAACCGGUCGUCUGAGUUAAAAUUUUGAAUAAAUCAAAACUUUCAACAACGGAUCUCUUGGUUCUCGCAUCGAUGAAGAACGCAGCGAAAUGCGAUAAGUAAUGUGAAUUGCAGAAUUCAGUGAAUCAUCGAAUCUUUGAACGCACAUUGCGCCCCUUGGUAUUCCGAGGGGCAUGCCUGUUCGAGCGUCAUUACACCACUCAAGCUAUGCUUGGUAUUGGGCGUCGUCCUUAGUUGGGCGCGCCUUAAAGACCUCGGCGAGGCCACUCCGGCUUUAGGCGUAGUAGAAUUUAUUCGAACGUCUGUCAAAGGAGAGGAACUCUGCCGACUGAAACCUUUAUUUUUCUAGGUUGACCUCGGAUCAGGUAGGGAUACCCGCUGAACUUAAGCAUAUCAAUAAGCGGAGGAAAAGAAACCAACAGGGAUUGCCCCAGUAACG
rnacentral:rRNA from 1 species